AAUGGUUCAGCUGUCUAGUCCAGCUCUGCACUCCUUGACUUUGGUAUUACCUGCUGGUCUUCUGAGAAAUCCUCCACACCAGCGGAGAGGAGACUGCAUCAUCUCAUGCUCCCAACUUUGCUGAGAGGAGAAACUAUCCACAACUGUAUCUGAGCAAAAAGAGAGAGACCUAUCCUACGCCAUCAGCCAGGAAAGAGUCCAUCCCACAUCCCUAGCCAGUCAGAGAGGAGACACUUCCCCUUUCCCUAGCAGGAAGGAUAUGGAAAAGAGAAGGUGAAUGGGCAGGUGCAGCCGUAAGUCCUCCCUUGCCAGAUUUUGUUUUAUACAGACAGUGGAAUUUGACAGGAAUGAGACGAGGAGAUUAACCAGGGGAAAGAGUGUGAUAUCUGAUGGAGGACAACACAGCAAUAGAAGAAACCCCGAGAGGAAAGGAUAUAAAUUGGGAUUGUCCGGUGGGCAAAGAACCUGAGAGUCAUCUAGUAAAUCUGGGGGUCCCCCUGGCGAACUCCCCACCAUUGGAAGAUGCCGCUCACGAUGUCCGGGUGGAUCGAGCAGCUGUGGCCAUUGAAGGAUCUGCCGAGAUGGACUGCCAGCUUGUUCUGGGAUCCUGGAAGUAAAAUAUCGCCUGUCACCUGAACCCCAGCUGGAGAUGAUUCUCAAAGAGGAGGAAAAGAUAUAAAAAUGAGGAUCAGAGGCCCCAAAUCACCUCUCACCCCUCAUCUCUACUCAUGGCAUCAACAAUGUUUGAAAGACAAAAGAAAUAUCAUUGAA